rnacentral:misc_RNA from 1 species
GCGAGCCUCAGCUCACUAUCGGAUCGUUUUAGAAACAUCAGUGGCCAACGGUCGUCAGGAUCGUUGAGCUGCAUUGGCGGGAUUUCGCCGUCUACGUUUCUCUUUCUUCGCGGACGAACACGCGCUGGGCCUGCAUGGUUGCAGGAUCCCGGUCCUUAACAGGAUAUGCGUUAGGGGCUUGUAGCUCAGUUGGUUAGAGCGCGCGCUUGAUAAGCGUGAGGUCGGAAGUUCAAGUCUUCCCAGGCCCACCACACUCGUCGAGUGAGCAUUCGUCUUCUGGUUACGGGGCCAUAGCUCAGCUGGGAGAGCGCGUGCUUUGCAAGCAUGAGGUCGUCGGUUCGAUCCCGUCUGGCUCCACCAGAUGGUUUGAUCAUCGACUGAUCGUGCAACUAAAUCGUCCGCGAUACAUCACUUCGCAUCUUGCUAGUCUGGAUAGACAGCAAGUUGCGUGAUUUCUGACAUCGUAAAGAGGAGAUCGAUCCGAGUUGGGUCGUGCAGCAAGCAAUUGCCACGCGACACUUCAUUAUCUCCGGAUCAUUUCGGCGCUCGUGCGUCUUUCAAGGUAGCUCACAAGGCUGCAUUUGAGAGGCGAGCGAGUUGUAAAUGAUCCUUUUAGCGAAGCUUGACCGCCUCGCUAUCGGAACGAUCUUACGAAGCAAGCUGGUCUUUCUAAUCAUUGUCCGGCUGCAGAUAGCGUUCAUCGAGGGCGCGUGCCGCAAGGCAAUUCUGCAGACAACAUUCUGCCGAGUGUGUGGACAUUGAUAAUGAGAGCAAUCAAGUGCCUUAAGGGUGUUCGGUGGAUGCCUUGGCGCUGAGAGGCGAUGAAGGACGUGCUACGCUGCGAUAAGCCGUGGGAGCUGCGA